rnacentral:rRNA from 1 species
UACGGAGGGUGCAAGCGUUAUCCGGAUUCACUGGGUUUAAAGGGUGCGUAGGUGGGCAGGUAAGUCAGUGGUGAAAUCUCCGGGCUUAACCCGGAAACUGCCAUUGAUACUAUUUGUCUUGAAUACCGUGGAGGUCAGCGGAAUAUGUCAUGUAGCGGUGAAAUGCUUAGAUAAGACAUAGAACACCAAUUGCGAAGGCAGCUGGCUACACGAAUAUUGACACUGAUGCACGAAAGCGUGGGGAUCAAACAGG